AUGAACAGAUGCAUGUGGCGGACCGCGAAUGGAGUCAGUGUCCAACCAUCACAGGUGGAAGUGUCUGAUGCUGAAGGCCAGAAUGCAACACUGAGCUGCACCUACUCAGCUGAUUUCAGCAAUGUUUUUAUGUACUGGUACCGUCAGUAUCCAGGAGAGCCUCCUCUGUACACCCGGAGACACGACUAUGAUGGGGAUACUUUCAGCGCUGAAUUUGCAAAACAACGUUUCAGCACUACAAUGGACACCAACACAAAGAGAUACGGCUUAACUGUCUUCCCCGUCGCUCUGUCUGACAUGGCGAAAUACUAUUGUGCCAUCAGACUCACAGUGUUGCUGUCAGAUUACACCGCUGUACAUAAACCUCCAAAGAGAAGAGAAAGAGAUACGUCUCAGAACAAAUGUUAUUCCUGA